UAUUGUACAUAGAUAAUAUAGUAACAGUAAUACCUGUAUUAUAGUAGGCUGAAGGUGUGUACCAAUUUUAUUUUACUCCUUCUAUACUACGUUUUGUUCGUUAUGAAAAUAAAAAUGUGAGGCCUACAAAAAAGCGAUAGGUACCUGUUAUUUUCCACAUACCUAGCUACAUCAGCUACAACACGAAAGACGACCAUUCUAAUAUAACGCAGGUAUAUUGUAGAGAAGGGGCACAUUCGUCGUUAACUUCGUCGGGAUAGUUCAGAGGAUAGUGGAGGAAACAAUGGCCUUGAAUGACUGUCGACUUUAUAUAUAUAAGGACGACCGGUCUAUUUAACCCAAUGGACGAACGAAAAUAAUUAUUAUUCUAAUAUGAUGUAUAUAAUAUAGCAGAACGACGAGACAUUAUCAUUGAACUAGGCCUCGUUUACACUAAACCGCAAAGUGGCAUAGAUGUUAGUAAACCAAAUUAUUAGAGAGUAGAAUACUAUACUAAUAUAUAUCUGGUUGGGGUGAUUUUUUUUCAAUUUAGAUGCUAAUGCUAUAUUCAUUUU